CACGUAGGGCGCAAGCGUUGUCCGGAAUUAUUGGGCGUAAAGGGCGCGUAGGCGGCCAGCACAAGUCAGUUGUGAAAUCUCCGGGCUUAACUCGGAACGGUCAAGUGAUACUGUCGGACUAGAGUACAGAAGGGGCAACUGGAAUUCUCGGUGUAGCGGUGAAAUGCGUAGAUAUCGAGAGGAACACCUGCGGCGAAGGCGGGUUGCUGGGCUGAUACUGACGCUGAGGCGCGAAAGCCAGGGGAGCGAACGGG
rnacentral:rRNA from 1 species